GACGACUGUUGGAUGUUUCUAUGCUUUAGGGCGAAGUUUCUGUGGUACACGCUAAACAGGAGAGAGGAGUUUACGAGGAACUCCCAUUCAUGGGAUUCAUGUGUGUGAGUGUCCUUUUGUUUUGUAUGCGCGUAUUCUCCCCACACACUCGCAAAUAGAGUUGGGUAUCGUUUGGGUUUAUCCGAUACCGGUGCCUACGCGGUACUUUUCAAACGGCUUCGGUGCUAAAACGGUUCUCGAACCGGUACUUAAAAAAGCGAAACCGCACACACUUGCAUAUUAUGAGUUUCACAUUAAGCAGAAAGUCAGCGGACACUGAGUUGAAUGGCAACGGUGUUUGCUAGCCUACUUGAUAUGCAAGAUUUACGGUUGGCAUUCAAUUACCUGACUUACCCAAAGAGGAAAGGCUGCUGUGAGUGCUGUGACUGAUAAAUAUCUUUUUAAAAAAUACAAAUAAUUACAAAUAAUUACUCGCUGAAAGCAGGCAGGCACGUAGCUAUACUGUUCGUGUUUACACUUGCGUGCAUGGCGCAACAUUACUGCCAAAGUCAAAUUAGGUAAUAUAACGCAGGUAAGCAAGGCAAACACAGGGGACGCCAACAUUGUUUUCAACCGCUUGGUACCGCGCCAAAGUAUUUGAAGCGAAUAAUCGACACUGUUUGUGAUUUGUUUAUUUGGUUUUGAACAGAUAGUUUUGGAUGCAUGCAUCGGCUUUAAGUUUGUUUGUUACUUUGAAAUUACAUUCGCUCGCAGCAUGCACGCACGUUCAUUCAUUCAUUCACGCACGCAUGCACCCACUACAACCUGCCGAUCUUCAAUCAAAACAACAUCAAAUAAGUGAUGCCGCAGCGCGUUGAGAAGUCCGUCCCGAGUCUCGAGGGGUCCAUAGGCUUUAUGGUUUAUAUGUUUGAAAGCCGUGCCACACUCUUUUGCCAGUUGGCCUGAAAUACCACGCCUCGCAGUCAUGGACCUAGUCAUACGGUUAAUCUACGUCACGUUUUCUGGAACGCCGCCAUUUGCACGACCGAUCUCGCCAAGUAUGGCCGCCCACACUGCUCAUCGGAAUGUUGGAGAGAGAGAUAUCUGGAAAAAAAUAAUCGAUUUUAGGCUCCAAUCCUUAUUUGUUACCCCUAGUUUUUUCUAGUCCAUUAGUAUCGGCCUCACGCUUGCCUCAAAUCAAUCUUCAUGACGUAUAUAUUUAUUUAGUCCACAACCCCUCCCCAUACAGUGGAGAUAUCUUGAAAGCGUUCAAGAGCACUGAUGCCUGCCAAUAUGCUGUGGCUGGAUGGGUGAAGGACGCUAAAGUGAGGCACUUGGCCACCAAUAAUCUUUAUCUGAUAAUGGCAACGUUAAGUACUAUAUAUUUGUGACUUCUUGUGAACAAUGAACAAGUUUGUGGUGGGUUACUAUCAUUGAUCGUUGAAAUCAGUCAUCAAAUCAUAGACGAUAAUUUCGCCGGGGACGCUUGGGACGAGUGUUCUUCACGAUUCACUUUGUAUUAAUAACAAUACUCUUUGGCUGGGACGAUGUCAACAUUGGGUAUAUGGAGCAGAACAUAGUGGGUCAUAUGUCAACGUUUUUUGUAUGCAUUUUAUUCAUUAGUAAGCUACAUGGAUAUGCCAUCUUUCAGAACCUUUCAUUACCUGCACUAAAGAGAAUAAAAGAGCGCAUCCUCA